rnacentral:rRNA from 1 species
ACACUCCUACGGGAGGCAGCAGUGGGGAAUAUUGCACAAUGGGCGCAAGCCUGAUGCAGCCAUGCCGCGUGUAUGAAGAAGGCCUUCGGGUUGUAAAGUACUUUCAGCGGGGAGGAAGGCGAUAAGGUUAAUAACCUUGUUGAUUGACGUUACCCGCAGAAGAAGCACCGGCUAACUCCGUGCCAGCAGCCGCGGUAAUACGGAGGGUGCAAGCGUUAAUCGGAAUUACUGGGCGUAAAGCGCACGCAGGCGGUCUGUCAAGUCGGAUGUGAAAUCCCCGGGCUCAACCUGGGAACUGCAUUCGAAACUGGCAGGCUAGAGUCUUGUAGAGGGGGGUAGAAUUCCAGGUGUAGCGGUGAAAUGCGUAGAGAUCUGGAGGAAUACCGGUGGCGAAGGCGGCCCCCUGGACAAAGACUGACGCUCAGGUGCGAAAGCGUGGGGAGCAAACAGGAUUAGAAACCCCGGUAGUCCCAUGA